UGAGGAAUAUUGGUCAAUGGGCGAGAGCCUGAACCAGCCAAGUAGCGUGAAGGAUGACUGCCCUAUGGGUUGUAAACUUCUUUUAUAAAGGAAUAAAGUCGGGUAUGUAUACCCGUUUGCAUGUACUUUAUGAAUAAGGAUCGGCUAACUCCGUGCCAGCAGCCGCGGUAAUACGGAGGAUCCGAGCGUUAUCCGGAUUUAUUGGGUUUAAAGGGAGCGUAGAUGGGUUGUUAAGUCAGUUGUGAAAAGUUUGCGGCUCAAACCGUAAAAAUUGCAAAUUGAUACUGGCGUCCUUGAGUACAGUUGAGGUGGGCGGAAUUCGUGGUGUAGCGGUGAAAAUGCUUAGAUAUCACGAAGAACUCCUAUUGCGAAGGCAGCUCACUAAACUGCAACUGACAUUGAGGCUCGAAAGUGUGGGUAUCAAACAGGAUUAGAUACC
rnacentral:rRNA from 1 species